UGUGCUCUUCCGAUCUGUUCACUGCCUGGGGAGUACGGUCGCAAGGCUGAAACUUAAAGGAAUUGGCGGGGGAGCACUGCAACGGGAGGAGCGUGCGGUUUAAUUGGAUUCAACGCCGGAAAACUCACCAGGGCCGACUGUUAUAUGAAGACCAGCGUAAUGAGCUUGUCGGAUUUUCAGAGAGGUGGUGCAUGGCCGUCGUCAGUUCGUACUGUAAAGCGUUCUGUUAAGUCAGAUAACGAACGAGACCCUCAUCUCUAUUUGCUACCCGUCUCUCCGGAGGCGGCGCACUAUAGGGAGACCGCUGGUGUUAAACCAGAGGAAGGCGAGGGCAACGACAGGUCAGUAUGCCCCGAAUGUCCUGGGCUACACGCGCGCUACAAAGGACGGGACAAUGGGAAGCCAGGCCGAGAGGCCGAGCUACCCCGAAACCCGUUCAUAGUUCGGAUCGUGGGCUGUAACUCGCCCACGUGAAGCUGGAUUCCGUAGUAAUCGUGUUUCAAUAUAGCACGGUGAAUAUGCCCCUGCUCCUUGCACACACCGCCCGUCAAACCAUCUUAGUUGGGGGUGGGUGAGGCUGCGCUUUAUGGCGUAUUCGAGCCUGCCUUCGACAAGGAGGGUUAAGUCGUAACAAGGUAUCUGUAGGUGAACCUGCAAGAU
rnacentral:rRNA from 1 species